GUGGGAGGGGGCUUGCCCCCGAUAGCGGUGGAUCAGUCGGUAUAUCCUGGGCUGACACACCGCAAUCGGGGGCAAGCCCCCUCCCAC
rnacentral:antisense_RNA from 2 species